UACGAAGGGUGCAAACGUUGCUCGGAAUUAUUGGGCGUAAAGCGCACGUAGGCGGCUUGGCAAGUCGGAUGUGAAAUCCCUCGGCUCAACCAAGGAAGUGCAUCCGAAACUGCUGAGCUUGAGUACUUAAGAGGAUCGCGGAAUUCCCGGUGUAGAGGUGAAAUGCGUAGAUAUCCGGAGGAAUACCAAAGGCGAAGGCAGUGUCCUGGGGAGUGUCUGACGCUCAGGCGCGAAAGCUAGGGGAGCGAACAGG
rnacentral:rRNA from 1 species